AGAGUUUGAUCCUGGCUCAGGACGAACGCUGGCGGCGUGCCUAAUACAUGCAAGUCGAACGCUUCUUUUUCCACCGGAGCUUGCUCCACCGGAAAAAGAGGAGUGGCGAACGGGUGAGUAACACGUGGGUAACCUGCCCAUCAGAAGGGGAUAACACUUGGAAACAGGUGCUAAUACCGUAUAACAAUCGAAACCGCAUGGUUUUGAUUUGAAAGGCGCUUUCGGGUGUCGCUGAUGGAUGGACCCGCGGUGCAUUAGCUAGUUGGUGAGGUAACGGCACACCAAGGCGACGAUGCAUAGCCGACCUGAGAGGGUGAUCGGCCACAUUGGGACUGAGACACGGCCCAAACUCCUACGGGAGGCAGCAGUAGGGAAUCUUCGGCAAUGGACGAAAGUCUGACCGAGCAACGCCGCGUGAGUGAAGAAGGUUUUCGGAUCGUAAAACUCUGUUGUUAGAGAAGAACAAGGAUGAGAGUAACUGUUCAUCCCUUGACGGUAUCUAACCAGAAAGCCACGGCUAACUACGUGCCAGCAGCCGCGGUAAUACGUAGGUGGCAAGCGUUGUCCGGAUUUAUUGGGCGUAAAGCGAGCGCAGGCGGUUUCUUAAGUCUGAUGUGAAAGCCCCCGGCUCAACCGGGGAGGGUCAUUGGAAACUGGGAGACUUGAGUGCAGAAGAGGAGAGUGGAAUUCCAUGUGUAGCGGUGAAAUGCGUAGAUAUAUGGAGGAACACCAGUGGCGAAGGCGGCUCUCUGGUCUGUAACUGACGCUGAGGCUCGAAAGCGUGGGGAGCAAACAGGAUUAGAUACCCUGGUAGUCCACGCCGUAAACGAUGAGUGCUAAGUGUUGGAGGGUUUCCGCCCUUCAGUGCUGCAGCUAACGCAUUAAGCACUCCGCCUGGGGAGUACGACCGCAAGGUUGAAACUCAAAGGAAUUGACGGGGGCCCGCACAAGCGGUGGAGCAUGUGGUUUAAUUCGAAGCAACGCGAAGAACCUUACCAGGUCUUGACAUCCUUUGACCACUCUAGAGAUAGAGCUUCCCCUUCGGGGGCAAAGUGACAGGUGGUGCAUGGUUGUCGUCAGCUCGUGUCGUGAGAUGUUGGGUUAAGUCCCGCAACGAGCGCAACCCUUAUUGUUAGUUGCCAUCAUUUAGUUGGGCACUCUAGCAAGACUGCCGGUGACAAACCGGAGGAAGGUGGGGAUGACGUCAAAUCAUCAUGCCCCUUAUGACCUGGGCUACACACGUGCUACAAUGGGAAGUACAACGAGUCGCAAAGUCGCGAGGCUAAGCUAAUCUCUUAAAGCUUCUCUCAGUUCGGAUUGUAGGCUGCAACUCGCCUACAUGAAGCCGGAAUCGCUAGUAAUCGCGGAUCAGCACGCCGCGGUGAAUACGUUCCCGGGCCUUGCACACACCGCCCGUCAA
rnacentral:rRNA from 1 species